ACGGAUAAGCCGAUGCUAAGAAAGUUUUUAGAAUAAUCAUUAGAUUAAACUCAAACGCUUUGUUGCCGUAUUUGCGGAAUUCCGAGUCCGGUGUCUUAAGCGUAUUACACUCGAUUCCGAAAGCACAGGUGCCAAUCACAUCUGUCGUAAACCGACCUAGCACAUCCUUCAUCUCAAUAUCCGGCUGACGAUAGUUUUCUUCCAUAUACUUGUCCAGCUCAAGUGCCACAUCCCAUAAUGUACCAAACAUUUGCUUCAUGCGACCUGAGGUGAACGUCGGCGUGAGCUUCUGACGCAACAAGCGCCAUGGGUUACCUUCCAACC